rnacentral:rRNA from 1 species
GGCGUGGAUUCAUGGCGAACGGGUGAGUAACACGUGAGUAACCUGCCCCUGACUCUGGGAUAAGCGUUGGAAACGACGUCUAAUACUGGAUAUGACUGCCGGCCGCAUGGUCUGGUGGUGGAAAGAUUUUUUGGUUGGGGAUGGACUCGCGGCCUAUCAGCUUGUUGGUGAGGUAAUGGCUCACCAAGGCGACGACGGGUAGCCGGCCUGAGAGGGUGACCGGCCACACUGGGACUGAGACACGGCCCAGACUCCUACGGGAGGCAGCAGUGGGGAAUAUUGCACAAUGGGCGAAAGCCUGAUGCAGCAACGCCGCGUGAGGGAUGACGGCCUUCGGGUUGUAAACCUCUUUUAGUAGGGAAGAAGCGAAAGUGACGGUACCUGCAGAAAAAGCACCGGCUAACUACGUGCCAGCAGCCGCGGUAAUACGUAGGGUGCAAGCGUUGUCCGGAAUUAUUGGGCGUAAAGAGCUCGUAGGCGGUUUGUCGCGUCUGCUGUGAAAUCCCGAGGCUCAACCUCGGGCUUGCAGUGGGUACGGGCAGACUAGAGUGCGGUAGGGGAGAUUGGAAUUCCUGGUGUAGCGGUGGAAUGCGCAGAUAUCAGGAGGAACACCGAUGGCGAAGGCAGAUCUCUGGGCCGUAACUGACGCUGAGGAGCGAAAGCAUGGGGAGCGAACAGGAUUAGAUACCCUGGUAGUCCAUGCCGUAAACGUUGGGCGCUAGAUGUAGGGACCUUUCCACGGUUUCUGUGUCGUAGCUAACGCAUUAAGCGCCCCGCCUGGGGAGUACGGCCGCAAGGCUAAAACUCAAAGGAAUUGACGGGGGCCCGCACAAGCGGCGGAGCAUGCGGAUUAAUUCGAUGCAACGCGAAGAACCUUACCAAGGCUUGACAUACACCGGAAACGGCCAGAGAUGGUCGCCCCCUUGUGGUCGGUGUACAGGUGGUGCAUGGUUGUCGUCAGCUCGUGUCGUGAGAUGUUGGGUUAAGUCCCGCAACGAGCGCAACCCUCGUUCUAUGUUGCCAGCGCGUUAUGGCGGGGACUCAUAGGAGACUGCCGGGGUCAACUCGGAGGAAGGUGGGGAUGACGUCAAAUCAUCAUGCCCCUUAUGUCUUGGGCUUCACGCAUGCUACAAUGGCCGGUACAAAGGGCUGCGAUACCGUAAGGUGGAGCGAAUCCCAAAAAGCCGGUCUCAGUUCGGAUUGAGGUCUGCAACUCGACCUCAUGAAGUCGGAGUCGCUAGUAAUCGCAGAUCAGCAACGCUGCGGUGAAUACGUUCCCGGGCCUUGUACACACCGCCCGUCAAGUCAUGAAAGUCUUGGUAGCUACCGCGAGCGCGCUGCG